UGCGUAGGCGGUCGGGUAAGUUUGAUGUGAAAUCUCCGGGCUUAACCCGGAAAUGGCAUUGAAUACUAUUCGGCUAGAGAGUCGGAGGGGGGACGUGGAAUACUUGGUGUAGCAGUGAAAUGCGUAGAUAUCAAGUGGAACACCAGUGGCGAAGGCGAGUCCCUGGACGAUUUCUGACGCUGAGGCACGAAAGCUAGGGGAGCAAACA
rnacentral:rRNA from 1 species